GAUAAGGUUAAGUGAAUAAGGGCGCACGGUGGAUGCCUUGGCACUAGGCGCCGAUGAAGGACGGGACUACCACCGAUAUGCUUUGGGGAGCUGUAAGUAAGCUAUGAUCCAGAGAUUUCCGAAUGGGGGACCCCAAUAUCUUUUAUAGGAUAUUACUUUUCAGUGAAUACCUAGCUGAGUAGAGGUAGACGCAGCGAACUGGAACAGCUGAGUACCUGCAGGAAGCGAAAGAAAAUUCGAGU
rnacentral:rRNA from 1 species